rnacentral:rRNA from 1 species
CCUACGGGAGGCAGCAGUGGGGAAUAUUGGGCAAUGGGCGCAAGCCUGACCCAGCAACGCCGCGUGAAGGAAGAAGGCUUUCGGGUUUUAAACUUCUUUUCUGAGGGACGAAGAAAGUGACGGUACCUCAGGAAUAAGCCACGGCUAACUACGUGCCAGCAGCCGCGGUAAUACGGAGGUGGCAAGCGUUAUCCGGAUUUAUUGGGUGUAAAGGGCGUGUAGGCGGGAAAGCAAGUCAGAUGUGAACACUGAGGGCUCAACCCUGAGAUUGCAUUUGAAACUGUUUUUCUUGAGUGCAGGAGAGGCAAUCGGAAUUCCGUGUGUAGCGGUGAAAUGCGUAGAUAUAAGGAGGAACACCAGUGGCGAAGGCGGAUUGCUGGACAGUAACUGACGCUGAGGCGCGAAAGCGUGGGGAGCAAACAGGAUUAGAUACCCGUGUAGUC